UACGUAGGGGGCGAGCGUUGUUCGGAUUUACUGGGCGUAAAGGGCUCGUAGGCGGCCAACUAAGUCGGACGUGAAAUCCCUCGGCUUAACCGGGGAACUGCGUCCGAUACUGGAUGGCUUGAGUGUGGGAGAGGGAUGCGGAAUUCCAGGUGUAGCGGUGAAAUGCGUAGAUAUCUGGAGGAACACCGGUGGCGAAGGCGGCAUCCUGGACCACGACUGACGCUGAGUGAGCGAAAGCCAGGGGAGCAAACGGG
rnacentral:rRNA from 1 species